UACAGAGGCCUCGAGCGUUAGGCGGAAUCACUGGGCUUAAAGCGUGUGUAGGUGGAUGCCUAAGUACCUUGUGAAAUCCCACAGCUUAACUGUGGAACUGCUUGGUAUACUGGGUGUCUUGAGCCACUCAGGGGCUACCGGAACAAGCGGUGGAGCGGUGAAAUGCGUAGAUAUCGCUUGGAACGCCAAUGGUGAAAACAGGUAGCUGGGGGUGUGCUGACACUGAGACACGAAAGCCAGGGGAGCAAACGGG
rnacentral:rRNA from 1 species